GCCUGGGUGGCUCAGUCGGUUGAGCAUCUGACUUCAGCUCAAGUCAUGAUCUCACGGUUCGUUGGUUCGAGCCCUGUGUCAGGCU
rfam:Felis catus isolate Cinnamon breed Abyssinian chromosome B2, whole genome shotgun sequence.